rnacentral:rRNA from 1 species
UACGUAGGGGGCUAGCGUUGUCCGGAAUCAUUGGGCGUAAAGAGCGUGUAGGCGGCUUGGUAAGUCCGCUGUGAAAGUCCAGGGCUCAACCCUGGAAUGCCAGUGGAAACUGUCAAGCUAGAGUCCGGAAGAGGCGAGUGGAAUUCCUGGUGUAGCGGUGAAAUGCGCAGAUAUCAGGAGGAACACCAAUGGCGAAGGCAGCUCGCUGGGACGGUACUGACGCUGAGACGCGAAAGCGUGGGGAGCAAACAGG